rnacentral:rRNA from 1 species
AUUGAACGCUGGCAGCAGGCCUAACACAUGCAAGUCGAGCGAGCGGCGGACGGGUGAGUAAUGUAUGGGGACUGCCCGAUAGAGGGGGAUAACUACUGGAAACGGUGGAUAAUAACGAAUAAUAUCGGAGAACCCAUCUGUGAUUAGCUAGUAGGUGGGGUAAAGGCUCACCUAGGCGACGAUCUCUAGCUGGUCUGAGAGGAUGAUCAGCCACACUUGUACUGAGACACGGCCCAGACUCCUACGGAGGCAGCAGUGGGGAAUAUUGCACAAUGGGCGCAAGCCUUAUACAGCCAUGCCGCGUGUAUGAAGAAGGCCUUAGGGUUGUAAAGUACUUUCAGCGGGGAGGCGUUACCCGCAGAAGAAGCACCGGCUAACUCCGUGCCAGCAGCCGCGGUAAUAC